rnacentral:lncRNA from 1 species
GGGCCUGCCGUGUGCCUCCAACUGGGAUUGAUGGAUCCUUGUCUUCGACAUCUCAUGAGCAGUACCUGUCACUGGUGACCGUUCAAGGUGGACUGCAUUCCUGUCGUCAGUGCACCUAUGUGACCAAGUACAAAGGGAACAUGCAACAACAUCUUUGCAACCAUACGGGCGUGCGCCCCUUUAAGUGCCAUCUGUGUCCAGCUACAUUCUCUCGGGACUCUCACCUGACGAGGCACAUUCAUACGCACUCAGGAAAGCGUCCCUUCUCCUGUGACCAGUGUAGGGCAUCGUUCAGACAUAAAACGAACCUUGUGGACCAUGUGCGCACCCACACAGGGGAGCGUCCCUUUUCCUGUGACCAGUGCGAUGCAUCAUUUGUGCGGGCGCAGCACCUCAAUCGCCACAUGUACAUCCACAGAGGCGAGCGUCCCUUUUCCUGUCACCACUGUAGUGCAUCCUUCUCACAGAAUCAGAAACUCAUGAACCAUCUAUCUCGUCAUCAUGCAAACAGGAAGCCUUAAAAAGUGAGUGGUCCACAGCCUUCUCAAGAGAAGUGGAGUGCAAGGUAAUAGGGGUAUUGUUGAUUAGAGAGGCUGCGGGGUAAAAGUAGAUUGAGACUUGGCAAGUAACUUGGUUUGGCAAUUCUCGAAGGAAUAUGCAUGUGUUUGUGGGACGAAAGGCGAGUGGUAGAAGAGUGUGUAAAAGAGAGGCCACCUUGGGAUAUGAAUAUACAUACUACCUUGCACUUCUUUUGGGUAACACUUCCUCCGUGAGAACUGAUGAACGGCCGCAGGCACUAAGAACAUCCCCUAUACAUUUCUAAGCAUUAUUGUCUGUUCCCUUUAAUAUUGUGUUAAAAAAGAGAACAAGCCCUUAAGUAUACACUUCGAAAAUUUGCAGGGUCACUUACACAUUGCUUAAAAGCAACUGAGGAACAAAAGCCAUCUCUGUUAUCUCUGUCCAGGUAUUGAUCCUUCCAUGGCAUGCUAAUCCACCCUGAAAGCUUCCUGCAUAGUUUUGCACUGCCUCUGUGAUCAGCCCGCUAUCGAACGAUUGACAGUGUCAUGUGAUACGGUCAUCACGUUAUGUGGUGUCACAAAUUGUGGUGACAUGUGACACGACGAUUUUUUGUACCACUCAUGUCAAUGUCAAUACCAUUGAAUGCCGAUAGUCAGUUCUCGCGUUUGAUGAGACAUCCAAGGCCUCCCACCUUUAGAGAUGCCUAGAACGUGUUCUGUCCUAGAUGGCUUAUUGGUUUUCAUGAGUUGAUGAGAAAGUAUGACAAAAAUAUGGGAAGUGAGGGUGAGGGAUGGAGUAGCUAGCAUAGUGUAUGCUGGUUCCUGAGUGAGCCACUUCACUUAUGAACUGAUGACUUCGCACUCAGGGUUGAAGCAGAGAAAGAUUGCCAUGCCUGCUUGUUGUUGGUAGCAGAGGAAGAGCACUGCAGUGAAAUAAUGAAACAAAUAUGCUGUGCAUCUAGAGGAAGCAUAAGCAGUUGUCAUGCAAGAUAUCAGUGGCAUCUCCAUAACCUUUUCGCAUCCUACACGUCAUGUGUGUCUGACUCAGUUUUCACCCUAAUGUACUAUGCUUGUAUAUGGGGUGUCAUAUGUGUUAUUAAAAUAAUGAUUUUUUAUUAAA